GGGGUCCUCUACAAGCACUAGCUAUAUUUGUAUUUUGUUGCAUGACAGCCCUAGACUAGAUUUUUCAGGGAGGACAUCUUCUUCCCUCUUUUUAAAUAAGGAGAUCAUUUAAGAUGCGGUGACUUGUACAUGGUUUCACAGUGCUGAACUAUUUAAGGCCCUUAAUUCUCUUGUUUAAGUUAAAAUGAUCUUUGUGUUUUAAACCUUCUGUUCAUAAAUUCCACACCUCACACAACCAAUAAUGAAAAGUCAAUGAAUAUUCAAAUUACUUCCUUUUAUGGGACUUUUGCAAUUAAAGUUGGAUUGAAUGAUUUGAACGCUGAGUCUGUACAAGGCAGGUACUGGGUGAGGAACGCAGGUGUAAAUGAGAAGCCAGGGCCCCUGCCUGUGUGGAGUGCAUGCUCCGUGGUGAGUUAAGGGGGUAGUAAGCUGAAAAAAAAAAUAGGAGGAAGCUAGUAAAUGAACAAGUUUUAGGUAAUGAUAAACAUUUCUGAAUCAAAUGUAGCGUAGUAACAUGGAGGAGUCGCAGCGUGAUGACGUGUGAUGGGGAGGGAGGAUCCAGCUACGUCAUCACAGAGGGUCUUAGUGGAACUGAGGUGGUCAAGGAGGGCAGGCACUCUGUCGUCCGCAUUGCCUUCCCGUUUCAUGUUACUAGACCAGCGCCGGGAGACAGCAGUGCUCAGGAGAAUUUGCUUUCAUGAAGUGUUUGACAACAUCAGGUUAAUAUCUAUUUGAAGUGUAAAAUAGGAACUAUCCACCAAUUGGAGCCCAUAAAAAAUGAUGGUCACAGGAGCUAACCAGCGAUGCUAGAGGUUAGACACCAGCUCCCUUCCUGUCACCUGGAGGCCUCCGCCAUGUGACUCCUCUUCUCUCUCUGCUCAUUUCCCUCUGCUUCUAGGUAAGAUGAGUUCACUUCCAGCUUGAUAUGCUUUUCCCUUGGACAAGAUUCCAGGUGACUCACCUGAC
rnacentral:lncRNA from 1 species